rnacentral:rRNA from 1 species
AACGAACGCUGGCGGCGUGGAUAAGACAUGCAAGUCGCACGGAUUUUCAUCUGUAGCAAUACAGGUGGAGGUCAGUGGCGCAAGGGUGCGUAACACGUGGGCAACCUGCCCUCGAGCCUGGGAUAGCCCGCCGAAAGGCGGAUUAAUACCGGAUGUGGCUACCGAAGGAUUCUUCGGGACGCUAAAGGUGGCGCAAGCUGCCGCUCCUGGAUGGGGCCCCGCGGCCUANCAGCUUGUUGGUGAGGUAACGGCUCACCAAGGCUAUGACGGGUAGCUGGUCUGAGAGGACGACCAGCCACACUGGAACUGAGACACGGUCCAGACACCUACGGUGGCAGCAGUCGAGAAUUUUUCUUCAAUGGGGCGAACCCU